rnacentral:rRNA from 1 species
GACGAACCGAGCGAACGUUGUUCGGAAUCACUGGGCUUAAAGGGCGCGUAGGCGGGCUGUCAAGUCUGGGGUGAAAUCCCACGGCUCAACCGUGGAACUGCCUUAGAUACUGACGGCCUCGAGGGAGAUAGGGGCGAGCGGAACUGUGAGUGGAGCGGUGAAAUGCGUUGAUAUUCACAGGAACUCCGGUGGCGAAGGCGGCUCGCUGGAUCUUUCUGACGCUGAGGCGCGAAAGCUAGGGGAGCAAACGGG